GCAAGUUGUUGGAAGUGAAGAAGUAGCCAGAGUGAAGACCUACACUGUUGAUACAGGGCCCUACUACUUUGCAUUUGGAGCCGUUGUAUUUGAAAAGGUUUCUCAUUAUCUAAUUGAUCUACCUAAUGUUCGAUGGGUUCUUCCUGAUACAUACCUGCUUCUGAGGAAUGAUUAUACGGGUAUGGAAGCUUUGAUCUUCUAAUUCUUCCAUGAACUUUGCAUCCUGUAGAUUACAUCCUCUCAUCUAUGAAAACCGCGGUGCCUUGUUGACCUCGUCAUGAGGCAAUUGUGCUGCUUCGGUUUUUGUUCUUGGCCGACUGUACUUGCUCGGCUAUUAUUUGGGUAGUUGUUGCACCAUCUCUGUUAUGUUAAUUAGCAUCAAAGGACAGUGAUUGAGACACGAAUUGUUAAUUAUUAACUGUUUAGUGGACAAGUUUGCUCAAUGCA